GUGUCAGCAGCCGCGGUAAUACCGGCGGCUCGAGUGGUGGCCACUAUUACUGGGCUUAAAGCGUUCGUAGCUGGUUUGUUAAGUCUCUGGGGAAAUCUGCCGGCUCAACCGGCAGGCGUUCCAGGGAUACUGGCAGACUAGGGACCGGGAGAGGUGAGGGGUACUCCAGGGGUAGGAGUGAAAUCCUGUAAUCCUUGGGGGACCACCUGUGGCGAAGGCGCCUCACCAGAACGGCUCCGACAGUGAGGGACGAAAGCUGGGGGAGCAAACCGGAUUAGAUACCCGCGUAGUCC
rnacentral:rRNA from 1 species